rnacentral:rRNA from 1 species
AACGAACGCUGGCGGCGUGGUUUAGGCAUGCAAGUCGAGCGAGAAAGUCCUUCGGACGAGUACAGCGGCGAAAGGGUGAGUAAUAUAUAGGUAACCUACCUCUUGGACUCGGAUAAUUCCUGGAAACGGGUUGUAAUACGAGAUCGUCCUAUUGGUCGCAUGGCCCGACUGGUAAAUGGUAGCUCUGCUUCUGCCGAGAGAGGGGCCUAUAUCCUAUUAGCUAGUUGGUGAGGUAAUGGCUCACCAAGGCUUUGAUGGGUAGCCGGACUGAGAGGUUGGCCGGUCACACUGGGACUGAGACACUGCCCAGACUCCUACGGGAGGCUGCAGUCGAGAACUC